rnacentral:rRNA from 1 species
CCUACGGGUGGCAGCAGUGAGGGAUAUUGGUCAAUGGGCGCGAGCCUGAACCAGCCAAGUCGCGUGAGGGAAGACGGUCCUAUGGAUUGUAAACCUCUUUUGUCGGGGAGCAAAAGACGCCACGCGGGGCGUUCCGCGCGUACCCGACGAAUAAGCAUCGGCUAACUCCGUGCCAGCAGCCGCGGUAAUACGGAGGAUGCGAGCGUUAUCCGGAUGUAUUGGGGUAAAGGGGUGCGCAGGCGGAAGAUCAAGUCAGCGGUAAAAUUGAGAGGCUCAACCUCUUCGAGCCGUUGAAACUGGUGUUCUGGAGUGAGUGAGAAGUAUGCGGAAUGCGUGGUGUAGCGGUGAAAUGCAUAGAUAUCACGCAGAACUCCGAUUGCGAAGGCAGCAUACCGGCGCUCAACUGACGCUCAUGCACGAAAGUGUGGGUAUCGAACAGGAUUAGAUACCCGAGUAGUC